GACGAACGCUGGCGGCGUGGAUUAGGCAUGCAAGUCGAACGGUAUCAUCCUUUCGGGGGUGAGAGAGUGGCGAACUGGUGAGUAACACGUAGGUUAUCUACCCUCAAGACGGGGACAACCCAGGGAAACUUGGGCUAAUACCGGAUGUGAGCAACUUUUAGUUGUUUGAAAGGUGGCGUAAGCUGUCGCUUGGGGAUGAGCCUGCGUCCUAUUAGUUAGUUGGUGAGGUAACGGCUCACCUAGGCAAUGAUAGGUAGGCGGCCUUAACGGGUGGUCGCCCACACUGGGAUUGAGAUACGGCCCAGACUCCUACGGGAGGCAGCAGUCGAGAAUAGUCUACAAUGGUCGGAAGACUGAUAGUGCGACGCCGCGUGAACGAUGAAUCCCUUCGGGGUGUAAAGUUCUUUUAUAUGUGAGCAGUGCUUCUUAUAUUAACAGUAUGGGGAGAGAGAUAUUAGCAUAUGAAUAAGCAACGGCUAACUCCGUGCCAGCAGCCGCGGUAAUACG
rnacentral:rRNA from 1 species